CCACGAAUAAACAAACUUAAUUCAAUUAAGGAUGUAGAACAAAAGAAGAGUGGAAACUACUUUUUCUUGGAUGAUUAGACUGACUCUGAGAAUAUUGAUAAGCCAUUUAUUAAAAGGAGUAUUUACUAGAAUUUUUUGUCAUAUAAAACUUGAAUCAGGAUUUUAUGCCCCACAUACUCUGGAACUUGAAGUAUAAUAUACUUAAUAUAACAUAAAAAGCCAGUUGGGUUCUAAAUUGUAGUUGAAACACAGAAAAUGCCACUUUUCUGUUCCUGAAGAGGCUCUUUUGUGCAUAAUAUUCUAAAAUGAAGACAUUUCAAGCUAUACAAAUUACUUCCAAGUUUUCAUGAUGUAUGGGAAGAUUUUCAGUAGGUGUAUUAUAUUCACGGUACCAAAUGCUGACCAGUGUUGCUCCAUUUUUUAAAUCUUGAAAAGGGUUUCUGUACUUACCUGGUUUGCCAAGUAUGCCAGUGUAAUGAAACUGCCCUUAUUUUAAAAGCCAGUCAAAGAUUCCACUGAUUGACAUUUGAUAAAUAAACAUCAGGAUUAUGUUUAUUGUUUGUUUUCAGUCUUUGCACUAUAUUACCAGUAUAUGGUUUCCGAGGAAGAUUAUCUACUGCAAAACACCACUGUUGGAAAAAUAGGUAUUUUUAAAUUGUUUUUAAUCUUUUUUGGUGCUUUUAAACAUGUU
rnacentral:lncRNA from 1 species